UACGUAGGGGGCAAGCGUUGUCCGGAUUCAUUGGGCGUAAAGAGCGUGUAGGCGGCCAGGUAGGUCCGUUGUGAAAACUCGAGGCUCAACCUCGAGACGUCGAUGGAAACCAUCUGGCUAGAGUCCGGAAGAGGAGAGUGGAAUUCCUGGUGCAGCGGUGAAAUGCGCAGAUAUCAGGAAGAACACCUAUGGCGAAGGCAGCUCUCUGGGACGGUACUGACGCUGAGACGCGAAAGCGUGGGGAGCGAACAGG
rnacentral:rRNA from 1 species